UAGCUUGCUAGAUGAUGUCGAGUGGCGGACGGGUGUAGUAAUACUUAGGAACAUGCCUUUGGGUGGGGGAUAACUAUUGGAAACGAUAGCUAAUACCGCAUAAUGUCUACGGACCAAAGGGGGCUUCGGCUCCCGCCCAGAGAGUGGCCUAAGCGAGAUUAGCUAGUUGGUGUGGUAAAGGCUCACCAAGGCGACGAUCUCUAGCUGUUCUGAGAGGAAGAUCAGCCACACUGGAACUGAGACACGGUCCAGACUCCUACGGGAGGCAGCAGUGGGGAAUAUUGCACAAUGGGGGAAACCCUGAUGCAGCCAUGCCGCGUGUGUGAAGAAGGCCUUCGGGUUGUAAAGCACUUUCAGUUGUGAGGAAAGGUUGAUGGUUAAUACCCAUUAGCUGUGACGUUAGCAACAGAAGAAGGACCGGCUAACUCCGUGCCAGCAGCCGCGGUAAUACGGAGGGUCCGAGCGUUAAUCGGAAUUACUGGGCGUAAAGCGCACGCAGGCGGUUUGUUAAGCUAGAUGUGAAAGCCCUGGGCUCAACCUGGGAAUUGCAUUUAGAACUGGCAGGCUAGAGUUUUGGAGAGGGGAGUGGAAUUCCAG
rnacentral:rRNA from 1 species